rnacentral:rRNA from 1 species
GAUGAACGCUGGCGGCGUGCCUAAUACAUGCAAGUCGAGCGAACAGAUAAGGAGCUUGCUCCUUUGACGUUAGCGGCGGACGGGUGAGUAACACGUGGAUAACCUACCUAUAAGACUGGGAUAACUUCGGGAAACCGGAGCUAAUACCGGAUAACAUAUUGAACCGCAUGGUUCAAUAGUGAAAGGCGGCUUUGCUGUCACUUAUAGAUGGAUCCGCGCCGUAUUAGCUAGUUGGUAAGGUAACGGCUUACCAAGGCAACGAUACGUGGCCGACCUGAGAGGGUGAUCGGCCACACUGGAACUGAGACACGGUCCAGACUCCUACGGGAGGCAGCAGUAGGGAAUCUUCCGCAAUGGGCGAAAGCCUGACGGAGCAACGCCGCGUGAGUGAUGAAGGUCUUCGGAUCGUAAAACUCUGUUAUCAGGGAAGAACAAAUGUGUAAGUAACUGUGCACAUCUUGACGGUACCUGAUCAGAAAGCCACGGCUAACUACGUG